rnacentral:rRNA from 1 species
GUUCCACGGGUUCCGUGUCGGAGCUAACGCGUUAAGCAUCCCGCCUGGGGAGUACGGCCGCAAGGCUAAAACUCAAAGAAAUUGACGGGGGCCCGCACAAGCGGCGGAGCAUGCGGAUUAAUUCGAUGCAACGCGAAGAACCUUACCUGGGCUUGACAUGUUCCCGACGGUCGUAGAGAUACGGCUUCCUUCGGGGCGGGUUCACAGGUGGUGCAUGGUCGUCGUCAGCUCGUGUCGUGAGAUGUUGGGUUAAGUCCCGCAACGAGCGCAACCCUCGCCCCGUGUUGCCAGCGGAUUAUGCCGGGAACUCACGGGAGACCGCCGGGGUUAACUCGGAGGAAGGUGGGGAUGACGUCAGAUCAUCAUGCCCCUUACGUCCAGGGCUUCACGCAUGCUACAAUGGCCGGUACAACGGGAUGCGACGCGGCGACGCGGAGCGGAUCCCUGAAAACCGGUCUCAGUUCGGAUCGCAGUCUGCAACUCGACUGCGUGAAGGCGGAGUCGCUAGUAAUCGCGAAUCAGCAACGUCGCGGUGAAUGCGUUCCCGGGCCUUGUACACACCGCCCGUCAAGUCAUGAAAGUGGGCAGCACCCGAAGCCGGUGGCCUAACCCCUUGUGGGNNGGAGCCGUCUNAGGUGAGGC